rnacentral:rRNA from 1 species
AAGCUCGUAGUUGAAUUUCGGGGUUCUACCGUUGGUCGGGCUAACCAGUCUGUACUAGCGUGUAGAAUUCCUACCUUCUGGGGAACCAUCAUGUUAUUAAUUUAGCGUGGUGGGAAACCAGGACCUUUACCUUGAAAAAAUUAGAGUGUUCAAAGCAGGCUUACGUCUGAAUACAUUAGCAUAGAAUAAUAAAAUAGGACGGUGGUCCUGUUUUGUUGGUUUCUGAAUCACCGUAAUGAUUAAUAGGGAUAGUUGGG